rnacentral:lncRNA from 1 species
UUGUUGGGAAGAAACCGAACAACCGAAACAAAGCGAAAGCACAACCGGUGUUCUUUCUCUCAUUAUAACUCCUGUCAAAAAUUAUGGCAAGCACAAUAGCACAAGAUAUGUUCUCUAGCAACCUUAAUCAACCACAAAUCAACUAAUGCAACCACAACAAAAAUAAAUAGAGACACCGAUAUUUUUACGUGGAAAACCCCUCUAAAUUAAGGGUAAAAACCACGGGACUUUAGAGUCUGAUAAAGAGCUCCACUAUCAUCAAAUGUUCGGCUACAAGAUCACAAUAUCAAGCCUACAACAAGCAUUCAACUCCGACAAGGCUAACAAUAUGUAAUCUUUAGCAAAAGAGAGAAAAAUGAGAGAACAUCACCAAAAAACGCAGCUGCUGAAAAAUGGGUAUUUCCGACGCUAAAAGACUCGGAUGAAAAAUUCGACCGUACAAAGUCAAGAACACCUUAUUGCCUAGCUGCUGUCCAAAAAUCAGCUCAAUCGAACCACGGAUGGACCUUCGAUCGAAGAGUUGAUCACUGCUGCACCAAGCUUGAAAAACUGAUUUUUCUAUUCUCUCUUUUUCUCCAACGAGCUUCAAUUUCACUCUCUUUCUCUCUGGAUGUAAUUGAGAAUUUUGCUCUCAAUUAAGAAUGCUGCCCACUCCUACGUUAAAAGGCCAAAAAAUUGGCUUUUGACAAAACCAAAAAGAGACAAUAAAAUGUGGCAGAAAUUAUGGGUUUCCCACAUAGUGGGACCCACACCUAACAAAUCUCCCCCUCCAACUAUGUGGGGAAUGCCUCCAUACCGGAGGUCAAACAACAUGCUUCAAACUUUCCUCUUGGUAAGGCCUUCGUCAACAUAUCAGCACCAUUAUCAUUAGUGUGUAUCUUCUCAAGCUCUAACAGCUUAGCUUCAAGAACAUCUCGUAUCCAAUGGUACCUCACAUCAAUAUGCUUAGAUCUAGCAUGAAAAGUUGAGUUCUUACCAAGAUGAAUAGCACUCUGGCUAUCACAGUACAGGACAUACUUCUCCUGAGUAAAACCAAGCUCAUGCACAAACUUCUUCAUCCAAAGCAUCUCCUUACACGCUUCGGUUGCUGCAAUGAACUCUGAUUCGGUGGUGGACAAUGCAACACACUUUUGCAGUCUCGAUUGCCAUGCCACAGCUCCCCCUGCAUAAGUGAUUAAGUAACCUGAAGUAGAUCUCCUCGAGUCAAUGUCUCCGGCCAUGUCUGAAUCUGUAUACCCAACAAGAACAGGUUUCUCAUUGCCGAAACAAAGUUUCAUGUUGGAAGUGCCACGAAGAUAUCUCAUAAUCCACUUCACUGCAUUCCAAUACUCUCUGCCUGGAUUAGAAAGAAACCGACUAACUGUACCAACGGCAUAAGCCAAGUCUGGUCUCGUGCAAACCAUUGCAUACAUCAAACUACCCACGGCUGAAGAGUAAGGAAUUUUCUGCAUCUCUUCCUUCUCCUUUUCUGUGAAAGGACUAUGCUUAACACUCAAUCUAAAGUGUAUAGCAAAUGGAGUAUUCACCGCUUUAGCUUUGUCCAUACUAAACCUUUGAAGUACUUUCUCAAUGUACCUCUCUUGUGAUAACCAUAAUUUCUUGGCCUUUCUAUCACAUGUCAGUCUUAUGCCAAGAAUUUGCUUUGCUGGCCCCAAAUCCUUCAUUGCAAAGGAUUUACUCAACUCUUGUUUCAACUUCUCAAUUCUAGAAGCAUUCUGACCAACAAUAAGCAUAUCAUCAACAUAGAGCAAAAGAAUAAUAAAAUCAUCACCAGAUAAUCUCUUAACAAACACACAAUGAUCAGAAGUAGUCUUCUUGUAGCCUUGCUCCCCCAUAACAGACUCAAACUUCUUGUACCAUUGCCUUGGAGCUUGCUUCAAACCAUACAAGCUCUUCUUCAAUCUGCACACAUAGUCCUCUUUCCCUUGUGUAACAAAACCCUCUGGCUGCUCCAUGUAAAGCUCUUCUUCCAAGUCACCAUGAAGAAAAGCAGUUUUCACAUCCAUUUGUUCAACCUCUAGGUCAUAACAAGCUGCCAAACUCAGUAUAGUUCUGAUAGAGGACAUCUUCACAACCGGAGAAAAUAUUUCUUCAAAAUCAACCCCCUUUUUCUGAGUAUAACCCUUGACGACCAAUCUAGCUUUGUAUCGUGGAGAUGAAGACUUCUCUUCUUGCUUCAACCUGUAAACCCACCGAUUAUUCAAAGCUCUUUUGCCCUUAGGCAGUUUCACCAAUUCAAAAGUAUGGUUCUCAUGCAAGGAUUGAAGUUCGUCUUUCAUCGCUUCAACCCACUGAUCUUUGCAUUCACUCUCCAUAGCCUCUUCAUAACAUUCAGGUUCUCCCCCGUCAGUCAAAAGAACAUAUUUAUCAGGAGAAUACCUGACAGAAGAUCGUCGAUCUCUGGAAGACCUUCGAAGUGGAACUGCUGGUGGAGCUAUAGGUGCUUGUUGUUGAUCAUUCACAACAUCAUCCAUGGGAGUAUCAAAGUCACCUAUAGUCUGAUGGUCACCACUAACAUCACCAUGCACAUCAUCCUGGAUAGGAUCUGGUGAAGAGUCUAGGGGAACCGGAUUCACAUCGAUCAAGUCACCACUACCUUGUGAAUCCACUUUCUCCGUCUUAUCAAUGUCAUCAAUGGUCUGAUCCUCAAUGAAGACAACAUCUCUGCUUCUCACGAGUUUCUUCUGAACUGGAUCAUAGAGUCUAUAACCAAACUCACCGUCUAGACUAUAACCAAUAAAAAUGCAUUGUCGAGCCUUGGCAUCCAACUUGGAUCUUUCAUCCUUUGGAACAUGAACAAAUGCUUUACAACCGAACACACGUAGGUGAUCAUAUGACACGUCUUUACCAAACCAAACUCUAUCUAGCACAUCACCUUUCAAAGGAACACUAGGAGACAGAUUUAUCACAUGUGUCACUGUAUUCAAAGCUUCAGCCCAAAAUGAUCUUGGUAACUUUGCAUCUGACAACAAACAUCUGACUCUCUCAAUCAAUGUUCGGUUCAUUCUUUCAGCUAACCCAUUUAACUGUGGAGUCUUUGGUGGUGUUCUCUGAUGUUUGAUUCCCUGUCGCAGACAAUACUCAUGAAACGACCCUGUGUACUCGCCACCAUUAUCAGUACGAAUGCACUUCAACUUCUUCCCAGUUUCCCUUUCAACUGAUGCUUGAAACUGUUUAAACACCUCAAAGACUUGAUUUUUAGACUUCAAAGUGUAAACCCAUAGCUUUCUUGAACAAUCAUCAAUGAAAGUCACAAAGUAAAGUGCACCACCAUGUGAUCUUACUUUUAUCGGACCACAAACAUCUGAAUGGACCAACUCUAGCAACUCUGAUUUCCUAUGAGGAGGAUGGCUUCUAAAUGAAACUCUUCUCUGCUUUCUUGCUAGACAAUGAACACAAUUCUUCAGUGUAGCAUUCUUUAAACCCGAAAGUUGAUUCUUCUUCGCUAAACAGCUAAGCCCCUUCUCACUCAUGUGACUGAGUCAUUUAUGCCACAAUUCAAUUGAGCUGUCAUUCAGUGUCACAUUCACCGUCUCUCGAGAAGUCAAAGCUUGCAUCAAGUAUAAAUUUGAGCUCUUCUUUCCUCGAGCCACAACCAAGGAGCCUUUAGUCAGCUUCCACUGCCCUUCACUGAAGGUGUUACAAAAUCCCUCAUUCAUCAAGUUUUCCUGCAGAAAUCAAAUUCAAACGGACAUCCGGUGCAUGUCUGACAUCCUUGAGAGUUAACUUUGUUCCAUUGUUACUCACCAAGUUAACAUCUCCCAUACCAAUAACCGAAACCAAACCAUCAUUACCCAUCUUCAAUACCCCAAAAUCACCAGGAGUAUAAGAUGUGAAGAAUUCCUUCCUUGACGUGACAUGAAGUGAUGCACCAGUAUCAAUCACCCAACUAGUCUCGUCGCAUGCUAGGUUGACCAAAUUCUCAUCACAAAUAACUAACAAAUCUUCAUGAGUAACAGUAGCAACACGCUCAGAUUUUUCAUCGUCAUUCCGAUCGUGUUUAUCACCACCACCUUUGUUCUCUUUCUUCCACUUGAAGUAAUAUUUCUUGAUAUGACCUUUCUUACCACAAUGAUGACACUCAAGAUUCUUGUAUCUCGAUCUUGACUUGCUUCGGCUUUUAUCUCUACCCUUUCCAUCUUUGUCUCUGUUUCUCCCCUUGUUCUCGAUAACCAACACCUCGGACUGUGAUGUAGAACCCUGAGAUCUUCUUCUAACCUCUUCAUUCAACACACCACUCUUAGCCAAAUCCAAAGUAAUAAUACCCUGUGGGGCAGAAUUAAUGACCAACAAUAAGCAUAUCAUCAACAUAGAGCAAAAGAAUAAUAAAAUCAUCACCAGAGAAUCUCUUAACAAACACACAAUGAUCAGAAGUAGCCUUCUUGUAGCCUUGCUCCCCCAUAAUAGACUAAAACUUCUUGUACCAUUGCCUUGGAGCUUGCUUCAAACCAUACAAGCUCUUCUUCAAUCUGCACACAUAGUCCUCUUUCCCUUGUGUAACAAAACCCUCUGGCUGCUCCAUGUAAAGCUCUUCUUCCAAGUCACCAUGAAGAAAAGCAGUUUUCACAUCCAUUUGUUCAACCUCUAGGUCAUAACAAGCUGCCAAACUCAGUAUAGUUCUGAUAGAGGACAUCUUCACAACCGGAGAAAAUAUUUCUUCAAAAUCAACCCCCUUUUUCUGAGUAUAACCCUUGACGACCAAUCUAGCUUUGUAUCGUGGAGAUGAAGACUUCUCUUCUUGCUUCAACCUGUAAACCCACCGAUUAUUCAAAGCUCUUUUGCCCUUAGGCAGUUUCACUAAUUCAAAAGUAUGGUUCUCAUGCAAGGAUUGAAGUUCGUCUUUCAUCGCUUCAACCCACUGAUCUUUGCAUUCACUCUCCAUAGCCUCUUCAUAACAUUCAGGUUCUCCCCCGUCAGUCAAAAGAACAUAUUUAUCAGGAGAAUACCUGACAGAAGAUCGUCGAUCUCUGGAAGACCUUCGAAGUGGAACUGCUGGUGGAGCUAUAGGUGCUUGUUGUUGAUCAUUCACAACAUCAUCCAUGGGAGUAUCAAAGUCACCUAUAGUCUGGUGGUCACCACUAACAUCACCAUGCACAUCAUCCUGGAUAGGAUCUGGUGAAGAGUCUAGGGGAACCGGAUUCACAUCGAUCAAGUCACCACUACCUUGUGAAUCCACUUUCUCCGUCUUAUCAAUGUCAUCAAUGGUCUGAUCCUCAAUGAAGACAACAUCUCUGCUUCUCACGAGUUUCUUCUGAACUGGAUCAUAGAGUCUAUAACCAAACUCACCGUCUAGACCAUAACCAAUAAAAAUGCAUUGUCGAGCCUUGGCAUCCAACUUAGAUCUUUCAUCCUUUGGAACAUGAACAAAUGCUUUACAACCGAACACACGUAGGUGAUCAUAUGACACGUCUUUACCAAACCAAACUCUAUCUAGCACAUCACCUUUCAAAGGAACACUAGGAGACAGAUUUAUCACAUGUGUCACUGUAUUCAAAGCUUCAGCCCAAAAUGAUCUUGGUAACUUUGCAUCUGACAACAAACAUCUGACUCUCUCAAUCAAUGUUCGGUUCAUUCUUUCAGCUAACCCAUUUAACUGUGGAGUCUUUGGUGGUGUUCUCUGAUGUUUGAUUCCCUGUCGCAGACAAUACUCAUGAAACGACCCUGUGUACUCGCCACCAUUAUCAGUACGAAUGCACUUCAACUUCUUCCCAGUUUCCCUUUCAACUGAUGCUUGAAACUGUUUAAACACCUCAAAGACUUGAUUUUUAGACUUCAAAGUGUAAACCCAUAGCUUUCUUGAACAAUCAUCAAUGAAAGUCACAAAGUAAAGUGCACCACCAUGUGAUCUUACUUUUAUCGGACCACAAACAUCUGAAUGGACCAACUCUAGCAACUCUGAUUUCCUAUGAGGAGGAUGGCUUCUAAAUAAAACUCUUCUCUGCUUUCUUGCUAGACAAUGAGCACAAUUCUUCAGUGUAGCAUUCUUUAAACCCGAAAGUUGAUUCUUCUUCGCUAAACAGCUAAGCCCCUUCUCACUCAUGUGACUGAGUCAUUUAUGCCACAAUUCAAUUGAGCUGUCAUUCAGUGUCACAUUCACCGUCUCUCGAGAAGUCAAAGCUUGCAUCAAGUACAAAUUUGAGCUCUUCUUUCCUCGAGCCACAACCAAGGAGCCUUUAGUCAGCUUCCACUGCCCUUCACUGAAGGUGUUACAAAAUCCCUCAUUCAUCAAGUUUUCCUGCAGAAAUCAAAUUCAAACGGACAUCCGGUGCAUGUCUGACAUCCUUGAGAGUUAACUUUGUUCCAUUGUUACUCACCAAGUUAACAUCUCCCAUACCAAUAACCGAAACCAAACCAUCAUUACCCAUCUUCAAUACCCCAAAAUCACCAGGAGUAUAAGAUGUGAAGAAUUCCUUCCUCGACGUGACAUGAAGUGAUGCACCAGUAUCAAUCACCCAACUAGUCUCGUCGCAUGCUAGGUUGACCAAAUUCUCAUCACAAAUAACUAACAAAUCUUCAUGAGUAACAGUAGCAACACGCUCAGAUUUUUCAUCGUCAUUCCGAUCGUGUUUAUCACCACCACCUUUGUUCUCUUUCUUCCACUUGAAGUAAUAUUUCUUGAUAUGACCUUUCUUACCACAAUGAUGACACUCAAGAUUCUUGUAUCUCGAUCUUGACUUGCUUCGGCUUUUAUCUCUACCCUUUCCAUCUUUGUCUCUGUUUCUCCCCCUGUUCUCGAUAACCAACACCUCGGACUGUGAUGUAGAACCCUGAGAUCUUCUUCUAACCUCUUCAUUCAACACACCACUCUUAGCCAAAUCCAAAGUAAUAAUACCCUGUGGGGCAGAAUUAAUGAGUGAGACUCGAAAGGUCUCCCAAGAGUCUGGUAGAGUAGCAAGCAACCAAAGUCCUAAAAUCUCGUCAUCAAAUUUGACACCCAUACCAAGCAACUGAUUCAUCACACUCUGAAAUUCACUAACAUGGUCAGCUAUAGACAUUCCUUCUUUAUAUUUCAGCGCCAUCAUUUUCUUCAGCAAAAACAACUUGUUAUUGCCCGACCUCGAAGCAUACAAGCUUUUAAGCUUCUCCCACAAUGUUCGAGCAUGUGUCUCUUGAUCAAUGUGGUUGUAAACAUUUUCUUCAAAAAAUUGCCGAAAAAAGCCACACACUUGUUGAUGUUCAAAUUCCCAUUCUUCAUCACUUUUCGAAUCGGGUUUUUGAGUAGUAAAGACCGGAAGAUGCAAAGCCUUCACAAAUAACAAGUCCUUCAUUUUAUUCCGCCAAAGUUGAUAAUUUGUGCCAUUCAACAUAAUCAUCUUGCUCGUAUUAAUUUCCAUAAUUACCUGACACAAUAACCAAGCUCUGGUACCAGUUUGUUGGGAAGAAACCGAACAACCGAAACAAAGCGAAAGCACAACCGGUGUUCUUUCUCUCCUUAUAACUCCUGUAAAAAAUUAUGGCAAGCACAAUAGCACAAGAUAUGUUCUCUAGCAACCUUAAUCAACCACAAAUCAACUAAUGCAACCACAACAAAAAUAAAUAGAGACACCGAUAUUUUUACGUGGAAAACCCCUCUAAAUUAAGGGUAAAAACCACGGGACUUUAGAGUCCGAUAAAGAGCUCCACUAUCAUCAAAUGUUCGGCUACAAGAUCACAAUAUCAAGCCUACAACAAGCAUUCAACUCCGACAAGGCUAACAAUAUGUAAUCUUUAGCAAAAGAGAGAAAAAUGAGAGAACAUCACCAAAAAACGCAGCUGCUGAAAAAUGGGUAUUUCCGACGCUAAAAGACUCGGAUGAAAAAUCCGACCGUACAAAGUCAAGAACACCUUA